rnacentral:rRNA from 1 species
GCUGGCGGCAGGCCUAACACAUGCAAGUCGAGCGGUAGAGAGAAGCUUGCUUCUCUUGAGAGCGGCGGACGGGUGAGUAAUGCCUAGGAAUCUGCCUGGUAGUGGGGGAUAACGUUCGGAAACGGACGCUAAUACCGCAUACGUCCUACGGGAGAAAGCAGGGGACCUUCGGGCCUUGCGCUAUCAGAUGAGCCUAGGUCGGAUUAGCUAGUUGGUGAGGUAAUGGCUCACCAAGGCGACGAUCCGUAACUGGUCUGAGAGGAUGAUCAGUCACACUGGAACUGAGACACGGUCCAGACUCCUACGGGAGGCAGCAGUGGGGAAUAUUGGACAAUGGGCGAAAGCCUGAUCCAGCCAUGCCGCGUGUGUGAAGAAGGUCUUCGGAUUGUAAAGCACUUUAAGUUGGGAGGAAGGGUUGUAGAUUAAUACUCUGCAAUUUUGACGUUACCGACAGAAUAAGCACCGGCUAACUCUGUGCCGGCAGCCGCGGUAAUACAGAGGGUGCAAGCGUUAAUCGGAAUUGCUGGGCGUAAAGCGCGCGUAGGUGGUUUGUUAAGUUGGAUGUGAAAUCCCCGGGCUCAACCUGGGAACUGCAUUCAAAACUGACUGACUAGAGUAUGGUAGAGGGUGGUGGAAUUUCCUGUGUAGCGGUGAAAUGCGUAGAUGUAGGAAGGAACACCAGUGGCGAAGGCGACCACCUGGACUAAUACUGACACUGAGGUGCGAAAGCGUGGGGAGCAAACAGGAUUAGAUACCCUGGUAGUCC